rnacentral:misc_RNA from 1 species
AACGCACGAGACCUGCGGACCUGCGGAGGGAUCAUUACCGAGUUCUCGCCCCUCGCGGGGUAGACCUCCCACCCACUGUGAUCACUACCGUCGUUGCUUUGGCGGGCCGCUGGGCCCAGCCCACCGCCGGCUCCGGCUGGCGCGUGCCCGCCAGAGGCCCUACAAACGCUGGAUAUCAGUGCCGUCUGAGUACACAUGUUAAUCGUUAAAACUUUUAACAACGGAUCUCUAGAUCGGAAG